UAAUAUAUCGGAACGUGCCCAGUCGUGGGGGAUAACGUAGCGAAAGCUACGCUAAUACCGCAUACGAUCUAUGGAUGAAAGCGGGGGAUCGCAAGACCUCGCGCGAUUGGAGCGGCCGAUAUCAGAUUAGGUAGUUGGUGAGGUAAAGGCUCACCAAGCCGACGAUCUGUAGCUGGUCUGAGAGGACGACCAGCCACACUGGGACUGAGACACGGCCCAGACUCCUACGGGAGG
rnacentral:rRNA from 1 species